CCUACGGGAGGCAGCAGUGAGGAAUAUUGGUCAAUGGACGAGAGUCUGAACCAGCCAAGUAGCGUGAAGGAUGACUGCCCUAUGGGUUGUAAACUUCUUUUAUAUGGGAAUAAAACGUUCCACGUGUGGGAUUUUGUAUGUACCAUAUGAAUAAGGAUCGGCUAACUCCGUGCCAGCAGCCGCGGUAAUACGGAGGAUCCGAGCGUUAUCCGGAUUUAUUGGGUUUAAAGGGAGCGUAGGUGGAUUGUUAAGUCAGUUGUGAAAGUUUGCGGCUGAACCGUAAAAUUGCAGUUGAAACUGGCAGUCUUGAGUACAGUAGAGGUGGGCGGAAUGCGUGGUGUAGCGGUGAAAUGCUUAGAUAUCACGAAGAACUCCGAUUGCGAAGGCAGUUCACUGGACUGCAACUGACACUGAGGCUCGAAAGUGUGGGUAUCAAACAGGAUUAGAUACCCGGGUAGUC
rnacentral:rRNA from 1 species